rnacentral:rRNA from 1 species
CACAUGCAAGGUCGAGCGCGCCCUUCGGGGUGAGCGGCGGACGGGUUAGUAACGCGUGGGAACGUACCCUUUGGUAGGGAAUAGCCACUGGAAACGGUGAGUAAUACCCUAUGAGCCCGUUCGGGGGAAAGUAUUUAUCGCCAAAGGAUCGGCCCGCGUUAGAUUAGGUAGUUGGUGGGGUAAUGGCCUACCAAGCCUACGAUCUAUAGCUGGUUUUAGAGGAUGAUCAGCAACACUGGGACUGAGACACGGCCCAGACUCCUACGGGAGGCAGCAGUGGGGAAUUUUGGACAAUGGGGGGCAACCCUGAUCCAAGCCAUGCCGCGUGAGUGAAGAAGGCCUUAGGGUCGUAAAGCUCUUUCGCCUGUGAAGAUAAUGACGGUAGCAGGUAAAGAAACCCCGGCUAACUCCGUGCCAGCAGCUGC